CCUACGGGAGACAGCAGUGAGGAAUAUUGGUCAAUGGACGAGAGUCUGAACCAGCCAAGUAGCGUGAAGGAUGACUGCCCUAUGGGUUGUAAACUUCUUUUAUAUGGGAAUAAAAUGUUACAAGUGUGGGAUUUUGUAAGUACAAUAUGAAUAAGGAUCGGCGAACUCCGUGCCAGCAGCCGUGUGAAUACGGGGGAUCCGGGCGUGAGCCGGAUUUAUUGGGUUUAAAGGGAGCGUAGGUGGAGUGUUAAGUCAGUUGUGAAAGUUUGCGGCUCAACCGUAAAAUUGCAGUUGAAACUGGCAGUCUUGAGUACAGUAGAGGUGGGCGGAAUUCGUGGUGUAGCGGUGAAAUGCUUAGGUAUCACGAAGAACUCCGAUUGCGAAGGCAGCUCACUGGACUGCAACUGACACUGAGGCUCGAAAGUGUGGGUAUCAAACAGGAUUAGAUACCCGUGUAGUC
rnacentral:rRNA from 1 species